UUUUAUGAAGACAUUCAGAGAAGUAUGCAACCAGCAGUUUGAUUGAAUUUACAAACAGUUAAAAGAAGUUUCCCAUCUACAAAGAGGGCUGAGUGUUUUCCUUCCAAGGAUGAUGUGGUGCUACUGAAGUGUUUCUUCAAUUUUUCCAGCCUCUUUCCUGGAUCUAGUGAGCUGGACCAAAUUUCAAAAGUCUACAAUGUUACAGGCGUUCUGGCUAACAAAGCUUUCCACAAGUUCAAGCAGUCAAGAAUCGCAAGGUUUGGUUUCUCCUUUAAAAAAGGAAAAGGAAUGCUUCCUGUUGUGCAGUUUGCCUCCCAAAGGCUUCUCUCUCCUGUAUGCAAUGAUAAAAUAUGAUCCUGAUGAGAGAAUUGCUGCCCAUCAAGCAUUACAGCUUAUUUUCAAGAACUCUGGGCACCUGAAACACAAAAAAAUAAGAUUACUGGGAAAUACAUCAGGGCAAGUACUUCUGUGUUUGUGGCACAUUUCAAUGGCAAGUCAAAAGACAGGUGGAUUUUACACAGUUUGCCACAUAUGGUGCUUCACAGGUAUUUAUUUAAUACCAAGUCCUCUGCUGUUAUACCUCUGGAGACAACUUGGACUUCUCUGGCUGCUGAUUAGUUGGCAAACUUGA
rnacentral:lncRNA from 14 species